GAUUGAACGCUGGCGGCAUGCCUUACACAUGCAAGUCGAACGGUAACAGGUCUUCGGAUGCUGACGAGUGUCGAACGGGUGAGUAAUACAUCGGAACGUGCCCGAUCGUGGGGGAUAACGAGGCGAAAGCGUUGCUAAUACCGCAUACGAUCUACGGAUGAAAGCGGAUGAUCUUCGGACCUCGCGCGGACGGAGCGGCCGAUGGCAGAUUAGGUAGUUGGUGGGAUAAAAGCUUACCAAGCCGACGAUCUGUAGCUGGUCUGAGAGGAUGAUCAGCCACACUGGGACUGAGACACGGCCCAGACUCCUACGGGAGGCAGCAGUGGGGAAUUUUGGACAAUGGGCGAAAGCCUGAUCCAGCCAUGCCGCGUGCAGGAUGAAGGCCUUCGGGUUGUAAACUGCUUUUGUACGGAACGAAAAGCCUCUUUCUAAUAAAGAGGGGUCAUGACGGUACCGUAAGAAUAAGCACCGGCUAACUACGUG
rnacentral:rRNA from 1 species